CACACUCUCUCUCCAUAAAUUCUACAACUGACAUUCUUUUAACCCUAAUUUUCUUUGGAAGGAUUUUCUCGGAUUAAGAGUGUUCUCAUUGUUUCUUGUUUGACUGUGAUUGAUCCUGGAGGAUGCGUAAUUUUGGUCUAUUUAUUGGGAGGUGGUUUCUGACGGUAGGAAUUGCAGUUGAAAUAUGAUGGUUUCUGUCAUUGCAUAUUAUGCCAGGUCUAUUGGGAGGUGCUUUAUGAUGAUGAUGGGAAUUGCAGUUGAAAUGGGUUCCCCCCUGCCAUUGGGUUCUUUCCGUUUCUGGCGGACUGGCAUUCUACAUAUUUUUUGCUUGUGGUGCGAAAAGUAAUUUGUUUGAUGGGCUUUGAUGUGCGUCUCUAGUACAAGCCUUGACUAUAUAUGCAGUUGAAAUGGUCUCUGCCAUUGCAUUCUGGCCAGGUAGCUUGUUCACUAUGAAGGGAC